rnacentral:rRNA from 1 species
UUCCGGUUGAUCCUGCCAGACCCGACUGCUAUCCGGGUGGGACUAAGCCAUGCAAGUUUAAUGGGAUACCUAAAUUUCCCAUAGCAAACUGCUCAGUAACACGUGAUCAACUUACCCUACGAAGGACUACAACCUCGGGAAACUGAGGAUAAUGGUCCAUAAUUGAGGAUGCCUGGAAUGGUGUGGGGGGUGAAAGAGCAAUUCAAACGGGAAUUGUUUCGUCGUAGGAUAGGAUUGCGCCCGAUUAUGGUUGUUGGCGAGGUAAUGGCUCACCAAGCCUAUUAUCGGUAAGGGCCGUGAGAGCGGAAGCCCUGAGGUGGGUACUGAGACAACGACCCAGGUCUUACGAGACGCAGCAGGCGCGGAAACUUCACAAUACACGAAAGUGUGAUGAGGUUACCCGGAGUGCUACACAGUAGCUGUUAUAGGGAGUAAGAUCCCCUAUGAGAAAGGAGAGGGCAAGGCUGGUGCCAGCCGCCGCGGUAAAACCAGCUCUUCAAGUGGUCGGGACUUUUAUUGGGCUUAAAGUGUCCGUAGCCGGUUUAGUAAGUUCUUGGUCAAAUCUGAUAGCUCAACUAUCUGCUUGCUAAGAAUACUACUAUACUAGGGGGCGGGAGAGGUCUGAGGUACUCCAGGGGUAGCGGUGAAAUGCUAUAAUCCUUGGGGGACCACCAGUGGCGAAGGCGUCAGACUGGAACGCGCCCGACGGUGAGGGACGAAAGCCAGGGGAGCGAACCGGAUUAGAUACCCGGGUAGUCCUGGCUGUAAACGAUGCGUGCUAGGUGUUGGUAUGGCUAUGAGCCGUAUCAGUGCCGUAGGGAAACCGUUAAGCGCGCCGCCUGGGAAGUACGGUCGCAAGAUUGAAACUUAAAGGAAUUGGCGGGGGAGCACCACAAGGGGUGAAGCCUGCGGUUCAAUUGGACUCAACGCCGGA